rnacentral:rRNA from 1 species
UGAGGAAUAUUGGUCAAUGGACGCAAGUCUGAACCAGCCAAGUAGCGUGCAGGAUGACGGCCCUAUGGGUUGUAAACUGCUUUUAUAUGGGGAUAAAGUGGGGAACGUGUUCCCUUUUGCAGGUACCAUAUGAAUAAGGACCGGCUAAUUCCGUGCCAGCAGCCGCGGUAAUACGGAAGGUUCGGGCGUUAUCCGGAUUUAUUGGGUUUAAAGGGAGCGUAGGCCGUUUGGUAAGCGUGUUGUGAAAUGUAGGAGCUCAACUUCUAGAUUGCAGCGCGAACUGUCAGACUUGAGUGCGCACAACGUAGGCGGAAUUCAUGGUGUAGCGGUGAAAUGCUUAGAUAUCGGGAAGAACACCGAUGGCGAAGGCAGCCUGCUGGGCCGGCACUGACGCUGAGGCGCGAAAGCUAGGGGAGCGAACAGG